AUUGAACGCUGGCGGCAGGCCUAACACAUGCAAGUCGAGCGAGCGGCGGACGGGUGAGUAAUGUCUGGGAAACUGCCUGAUGGAGGGGGAUAACUACUGGAAAAGGUAGCUAAUACCGCAUACCAUCAGAUGUGCCAAGAUGGGAUGAGCUAGUAGGUGGGGUAACGGCUCACCUAGGCGAGGAUCCAUAGCCGGUCUGAGAGGAUGACCAGCCACAAUGGAACUGAGACACGGUCCAGACUCCUACGUGAGGCAGCAGUGGGGAAUACUGCACAAUGGGCGCAAGCCUGAUGCAGCCAGGCCGCGUGUGUGAAUAAGGCUUUCGGGUUGUAAAGCACUUUCAUCGGGGAGGCGUUACCCGCAGAAGAAGCACCGGCUAACUCCGUGCCAGCCGCCGCGGUAAUUC
rnacentral:rRNA from 1 species